UGGGGAAUAUUGCACAAUGGGCGAAAGCCUGAUGCAGCAACGCCGCGUGAAGGAAGAAGGUCUUCGGAUCGUAAACUUCUGUCCUUAGGGAAGAUAAUGACGGUACCUUUGGAGGAAGCCCCGGCUAACUACGUGCCAGCAGCCGCGGUAAUACGUAGGGGGCAAGCGUUAUCCGGAAUUAUUGGGCGUAAAGAGUGCGUAGGUGGUUACCUAAGCAGGGGGUGAAAGGCAAUGGCUCAACCAUUGUUAGCCCCCUGAACUGGGUAUCUUGAGUGCAGGAGAGGAAAGCGGAAUUCCUAGUGUAGCGGUGAAAUGCGUAGAUAUUAGGAGGAACACCAGUGGCGAAGGCGGCUUUCUGGACUGAAACUGACACUGAGGCACGAAAGUGUGGGGAGCAAACAGG
rnacentral:rRNA from 1 species